rnacentral:rRNA from 1 species
CUACGGGGGGCUGCAGUGAGGAAUAUUGCACAAUGGGGGAAACCCUGAUGCAGCAACGCCGCGUGGAGGAUGACGCAUUUCGGUGUGUAAACUCCUUUUAUGAGUCAAGAAAAUGACGGUAGCUCAUGAAUAAGCACCGGCUAACUCCGUGCCAGCAGCCGCGGUAAUACGGAGGGUGCAAGCGUUACUCGGAAUCACUGGGCGUAAAGGACGCGUAGGCGGGAUGUCAAGUCAGGUGUGAAAUCCUAUGGCUCAACCAUAGAACUGCACUUGAAACUGGCAACCUAGAGUAUGGGAGGGGGAGAUGGAAUUAGUGGUGUAGGGGUAAAAUCCGUAGAUAUCACUAGGAAUACCGAAAGCGAAGGCGAUCUCCUGGAACAUUACUGACGCUAAGGCGUGAAAGCGUGGGGAGCAAACAGGAUUAGAUACCCUCGUAGUC